AAUAUUGGGCAAUGGAGGGAACUCGGACGCAGCGACGCCGCGUGAGCGAUGAAUGACAUCGGAUCGUAAAGCUCUGUCCUUGGGGAAAAAGGGAGCCGUAAGGCUUCUUGACGGUACCCAUGGAGGCAGCCCCGGCUACCUACGUGCCAGCUGCCGCGGUAAUACGUAGGGGGCAAGCGUUGUCCGGAAUUAUUGGGCGUAAAGGGUGCGUAGGCGGCCCUUUAAGUCAGAUGUGAAAGCCCACGGCUUAACCGUGGGACUGCAUUUGAAACUGGAGGGCUUGAGUGUCGGAGAGGGCAGUGGAAUUCCCAGUGUAGCGGUGGAAUGCGUAGAUAUUGGGAGGAACACCAGUGGCGAAGGCGACUGCCUGGACGAUAACUGACGCUGAGGCACGAAAGCUAGGGGAGCAAAC
rnacentral:rRNA from 1 species